rnacentral:rRNA from 1 species
GACAGAGGGUGCGAGCGUUGUUCGGAAUUACUGGGCGUAAAGGCGCGUAGGCGGCCAUCUAAGUCAGACGUGAAAUCCCUCGGCUUAACCGAGGAACUGCCUCCCAAACUGCUUGGCUUGAGACCGGGAGAGGUGAGUGGAAUUCCCAGUGUAGCGGUGAAAUGCGUAGAUAUUGGGAGGAACACCAGUGGCGAAGGCGGCUCACUGGACCGGUACUGACGCUGAUGCGCGAAAGCGUGGGGAGCAAACGGGG